rnacentral:lncRNA from 1 species
AUCCAAGGAAGUUGACAUGUCAUCACUUCAUUUUUUUGCGCCUGCGCAUAAAUCUGAGAAACGUGAGUUUGUCAUCAUUUUUUAUCUAGACAUAGGAUAGGUUGUGUGAAAAUAUUACUGAUGUUUAACGUUAAAAAUGGACCAAAAGAUUAAUGCUAAACAACAUUUGACAUGUUUGAACGAACAUAAAUAGAUUAUUUACUAGGUUUUUUUAGCUUUUCGGCGUGAUUUUACCAGCCCCACCACGUUUUGUGGGAGCAUAAUGAACGCUAAGUACUUGGUGUUAUUUGGACAUAAAUUAUGAACUUUGUCAAAAGAAACCACAUUUGUUCCGGACCUGGAAUGCCUUCCGGACCUGGGAUCCUGCCUUCUGAUGGAGAUAAUCAAAGGAAAUGAGCUUGGCUAGGAUCCUGAUAAACACAAGUUAAAGAAUUACAGCGAGAAGAAAAUCGAUAUUCACAGUGAGAUGACGGGGAGUGAGGAAUCCAGAAUGAAGAGCGGUGUUUUGUCAAAUGUUUUCUUUGAAUAAAUUAAGAAGAUGAGCACCUUACGACGCCAAUGACAGAACCAACCACCAAAAGAGGACCAAGCAGCAGAAGGAGGAGCAGCAAGAAUGGACAUGGGAGCAAAUAUUGGACGGCAAGGGAUCCUAGACAUGGGAGGAGAUCCAGAAGGGAUUUUAUUGCCGUCCAUGGGAACUCCCCGUGCUUAUUAUGGGGAGCGACGGAUCAAGCAAGCCCCUUGUUAUGCGGAGAUACGCACUGUGUCGCCCAUACGCACGCACAGUCCGGUGCGGUCAAUAAGACCUCUGCA